AUCAGAUGUGCUGCCAGUCUGGGGAGCCUGAAAUUUUCCUGAAGAUAGUUUUCCUGAAGAAGCCUGAAGAUAUUGAGGUGCUGUUGAUGUUCCUGGGCAGGAGGCAGAGCUGAUGCCUGCUGCUUGCCCCUCCCAGUCCCUGCAGGACUUUGGACACUCCUUUUCAUGACGAUGAUGUAAGUGUUGAAAACUAUCACCUGAGUUGAACUGCAAGAGAAUAAGGGAGUUUACUUCAGUGGUGAAACAGAUUAUAAUUAUCGGUAACAGACUCAGCAACUGUGUAUGCAAUCAUUUCCUCCUGAAGACCUUGGUGCACCUGAGAACAGAAACUUCCUGGUAUCUCUGCAAAAAUAGUCUCAUGAUGAUUUAUCAUUAAUGAGCCACUCUGUUCC
rnacentral:lncRNA from 12 species